rnacentral:rRNA from 1 species
GAUCCUGGCUCAGGAUGAACGCUAGCGGCAGGCUAACACAUGCAAGUCGAGGGGCAGCGCGAGGUAGCAAUACUUGGCGGCGACCGGCGCAAGGGUGCGUAACGCGUGAGCAACUUGCCCGUAACAGGAGGAUAACCGGAGGAAACUCCGACUAAUACUGCGUAGUAAUAAUUGGUGGCAUCACCGAGUGUUUAAAGGCGAAAGCCGGUUACGGAUAGGCUCGCGUGACAUUAGCUGGAUGGCGGGGUAACGGCCCACCAUGGCGACGAUGUCUAGGGGUUCUGAGAGGAAGGUCCCCCACACUGGUACUGAGACACGGACCAGACUCCUACGGGAGGCAGCAGUGAGGAAUAUUGGACAAUGGUCGGAAGACUGAUCCAGCCAUGCCGCGUGAAAAGGCUAAGGUCCUAUGGAUUGUAAACUUCUUUUGUACGAGAGGAAUAAGGCGGACGAGUCCGUCGACGACAGUAUCGUACGAAUAAGCAUCGGCUAACUCCGUGCCAGCCGCAGC